GAGGAAGUAAAAGUCGUAACAAGGUCUCCGUUGGUGAACCAGCGGAGGGAUCAUUACCGAGUUUACAACUCCCAAACCCAAUGUGAACGUUACCAAACUGUUGCCUCGGCGGGAUCUCUGCCCCGGGUGCGUCGCAGCCCCGGACCAAGGCGCCCGCCGGAGGACCAACCAAAACUCUUUUUGUAUACCCCCUCGCGGGUUUUUUAUAAUCUGAGCCUUCUCGGCGCCUCUCGUAGGCGUUUCGAAAAUGAAUCAAAACUUUCAACAACGGAUCUCUUGGUUCUGGCAUCGAUGAAGAACGCAGCGAAAUGCGAUAAGUAAUGUGAAUUGCAGAAUUCAGUGAAUCAUCGAAUCUUUGAACGCACAUUGCGCCCGCCAGUAUUCUGGCGGGCAUGCCUGUCCGAGCGUCAUUUCAACCCUCGAACCCCUCCGGGGGGUCGGCGUUGGGGAUCGGCCCUGCCUUUGGCGGUGGCCGUCUCCGAAAUACAGUGGCGGUCUCGCCGCAGCCUCUCCUGCGCAGUAGUUUGCACACUCGCAUCGGGAGCGCGGCGCGUCCACAGCCGUUAAACACCCAACUUCUGAAAUGUUGACCUCGGAUCAGGUAGGAAUACCCGCUGAACUUAAGC
rnacentral:rRNA from 1 species